rfam:Schistosoma mattheei strain Denwood, Zambia genome assembly, scaffold: SMTD_scaffold0000585
AUACAUCUGACGAGUCCCAAAUGAGACGAAACGCAUGUCAUGGAG